rnacentral:rRNA from 1 species
UACAGGGGGGGCAAGCGUUGUUCGGAAUUACUGGGCGUAAAGGGCUCGUAGGCGGCCAACUAAGUCACACGUGAAAUCCCCAGGCUUAACCUGGGAACUGCGUGUGAUACUGGAUGGCUUGAGUUUGGGAGAGGGAUGCGGAAUUCCAGGUGUAGCGGUGAAAUGCGUAGAUAUCUGGAGGAACACCGGUGGCGAAGGCGGCAUCCUGGACCAACACUGACGCUGAGGAGCGAAAGCCAGGGGAGCAAACGGG